CACCCCAUAAACCUGGCAAGCACAUACAUUAACGUCUUAGAAAAUAAAUAAAAAAUUAACUAAAUAAAACAAAGAAAGCGAAAAUGGUUAGGUAAACCUCGAUGCGUUUAAAAGCGUCAAAGUGAAAUCUGCGCCAAAAGUUUACUUUUCUUAUCAAACAUCUAAGUAUACGGGAGCGAACGGCGAAACAAGGCGCUAGAAAGACCAGCAGGGUUAGGGCGUUGUGCAAGGAUUUAUGCAAAUUUCUUAUUUGAAGUGGCAAAGUGCCUUAGACAAUAAGAAAUGACAGUAAAAAGUGCUGCCACCCAGAGGACAGCGCAAAGGAGGAUAUUAAAAUUUCAGCAGAGCUGCAUUGCAGUCGUGAAAACGUAAAAAAUCAACUGAAUUAGUGUGUCUUCAAGGUCUUUUGUUCGCCGUUGAAAUGCUGAAAUUGUGAAUGGGUUCUUCACAGGUGCUGAAGGUAUUUGUGGAAUUAAUUAGUUGUAAGAGAGCAUGUCAAAAGGGCGGAAUAUAAUUGCGAAAGUAAAUAGCAAGGGAAAGUGUUUUUUUAGCAUUGGUGGAAAUGGAGAAAGGAUUAAUACACAAAAGGAUUUAGAAUGUAUCGAUGUUAAAAGGGGAUAAGGAAGAGAUUUGUUGAGAAAUAACUAAUAAAUAGUUUUCAAACAAUUAUUUAAACAAUUAAA